GAGGUAUUAGUAAAACAAUUACAUAACUUUGUCAAGGUUAAAUUAUAGACUUAAAUCUAUAUACUUCG
rnacentral:tRNA from 1 species